UUAGGAAUCUUCCACAAUGGGGGCAACCCUGAUGGAGCAAUACCGCGUGCAGGAAGACGCUUUUCGGAGUGUAAACUGCUUUUGUCGUCGAAGAUUAUGACGGUAGACGACGAAUAAGGACCGGCUAAUUACGUGCCAGCAGCCGCGGUAAUACGUAAGGUCCAAGCGUUAUCCGGAAUUACUGGGCGUAAAGCGUACGUAGGCGGCCUACUAAGUUGGGUGCGAAAUCUUGCGGCUCAACCGUAUAGACUGUACUCAAUACUGAUAGGCUAGAGUGUAGUAGAGGCAAGCGGAAUUUGUGGUGUAGGGGUAAUAUCCGUAGAUAUCACAAGGAACACCAAUGGCGAAGGCAGCUUGCUGGGCUAUUACUGACGCUGAGGUACGAAAGCGUGGGGAGCGAACGGG
rnacentral:rRNA from 1 species